rnacentral:rRNA from 1 species
AUUGAACGCUAGCGGGAUGCUUUACACAUGCAGUCGAACGAGUGGCGGACGGGUGAGUAAUAUAUCGGAACGUGCCCAGUAGCGGGGGAUAACUACUCGAAAGAGUGGCUAAUACCGCAUACCUUCAGUUUUCCCAGAUGGGAUUAGCUAGUAGGUGGGGUAAUGGCCAACCUCGGCUACGAUCCCGAGCUGGUCUGAGAGGAUGACCAGCCACACGGUAACUGAGACACGGUCCAGACUCCUACGGGAGGCAGCAGUGGGGAAUAUUGCACAAUGGGCGCAAGCCUGAUGCAGCCAUGCCGCGUGUGUGAAGAAGGCCUUCGGGUUGUAAAGCACUUUCAGCGAGGAGGCGUUACUCGCAGAAGAAGCACCGGCUAACUCCGUGCCAGCAGCCGCGGUAAUUC